rnacentral:rRNA from 1 species
GCCUCCCUCCGCGCCAUCAGACUCCUACGGGAGGCAGCAGUGGGGAAUUUUGCGCAAUGGGGGAAACCCUGACGCAGCAACGCCGCGUGGAGGAUGAAGUACUUCGGUACGUAAACUCCUUUCGAUCGGGACGAUAAUGACGGUACCGGAAGAAGAAGCCCGGCUAACUUCGUGCCAGCAGCCGCGGUAAUAC